rnacentral:snRNA from 1 species
AUGUUCACUUUAGCAGCACACAUAGUAAAAUUGAAAUGAUACAGAGAAGAUUAGCAUGGUCCCUCCACAGGAUGGCACACAAAUUCAUGAAGCAUUUGUAUUUUUG